rfam:Gossypium raimondii Chr01_contig_26, whole genome shotgun sequence.
UAUUAAAUUUUUCAUUCAUUUCUACUAUUAAAAUAUGGCAUGGCUGCAAAAUAACUAGACAAUGACAUGUGACGUAUAUCUUAUGCUGACGUAUAAGAAUCAGUUUUUAACAGUAAAAAUAGAUGGAAAUUUUAAUA